GCCUACUCUUCACCUGAAUUAGAAAAAAAGGGCUCCUCUCUGGUCUUCAGCGAGGACAAAUUUUGAGCAUACACGUAUAUCUGAGCGAGAGAGACAGUUCAUUAAAGAACCAUGUAUAUUUAAAAAGGCAUGUUCAGUUUUGUGUGAGUAAAGGAAAUCUGAAUGGGAGUGGAGAUUCGUGCUCACGCAUUACACGGAUCACGUAACAUUAUACGCUUUCGGUAUUUGUAGAAAAGGCCCCAAAGUUAUGUUAGUGUUGCUAUUAUUUAGUACAGUUGACCAUAACGUGCUUUAUGUUUCACUUUUACUCCCGUUUAUUCAGUGCUUGUAAUAGGGUAGCAAAGGCGCGCGCUGGUUUGUAUAUUAUAUCUGACGUCGCGCAGUAGUAUGCAGUACGAUAGAGAUGGUCAGUCGGUUGUCACGCAGUUAGCAUUCAGUAUGACAGAGAUCAUCGGUCGGUAAAAUUAUAAUUGUGAGUGACAAUUUCCUCAGCGUGUGCGUGAAUGAGAAAAGUAAGUAAAUCUGCUGCAUUACUCGUGAUAUUGUAUUUCUUUGACAGCUGUUAUUUCUGAUAUUCGAUAUGGAUGAGAGUUAGGAGUUUAAGGGUCGUUACACGACCGUUGUGUUAAUUAUAUCCACGUUCGUACGUUACUUUCUAGCUUCGGUCCACCUGACUCAGUACGUCGGGUUAAAUGGGUCACAUCGUGUUCAGACAUGUUUAUACUUUAUUCAAUACUUGUUGUUAUGAAUGUUAAGUACUCUGUGGCUGAGUAAAAUAUGAAGUGGUGUUAAAUAUCAUUAUCUGGACCGCUAUUGAUGCUUUAAAGUAUAUCAUAGAUGACAAAACCACACUCGAAAUUACACUCACCUUUAAACUCACUCAUACAAGAAAGAGGAGGAAUAAACAGAAUAAUAAGAAUUAUCUCUCCGCUCUUCAUUUCAUACUCUGGAAUAUUUGGCCUUAAGUGGUGUUCUGGCCGACACACCUGAGUGAACCUGGUGACCCAGAAUUAGCACCUAGACUGAGCGUCUACCCAUUAUCUUCACUUCAGUAUUUGUCAUUAAGAUCCCGCUAUAGAAACCUCCUAAAAUUAAGUAUAAAGCAGAGGAUCCGCCACUGACAGAUGCAGUUAUAAAUACUAAAAACAAGCCUAAUGCAAGAUAUCUGGUAGGGGAGGCACCUGGGGUGGCCAGCCACCAUGUAGACCCACCCCUGCUUCUCUGCUAAUCGGUGUGUUGCCACUGAAUUGAAGUACCCCAAUAACUAUAUGAGUUUGGUUUAUAUGACAGGUGGGUGUCUGCCGGUGAGGAGGAUCAGGUGUGCAGCUGCUGUGACACAACCUGUGGCAUUAGGAGUGGAAGUGAUCAGCUUCUUAAAGGCAUGUGAUUACAUUUUUCAAGGGGGUAAUGUGUAGACUGCAUGGUCGAGUCGUCUUCCUCGUCUUAAUCCUGGUUUGUGUGUGUCAUCAUCGAAUGCAAGACUUAGAAUGCAGAAGCAAUGGCUAUAACUGAUAAGACACAUUCCCUGCUUUUAAUAUCUGAAGAAUUAAUGCAACAGGACACAGCUGAACACUUAGAAAGACCUGUGAGGCAACUGUUCCAAUACUUAUGCUCACAUCAGAUAGGGAGAUGAAACUCUUAAAGUGCUGAUCUUCUUAACUGGUAAAACAUCUUUGUGUUGAAUCACCCAAUAAUAAAAUGUGACAUUCUGUAGUUUUGUCUCAUAUUCAUCUUUUAAUCAUAUUUACAGAUUUCUUGACUCCACAGCAAACAGAACAAUUUUGUCUUUACUCUUCCAAUACUUAUGGAGAGCACUGUAUAUAGAGGUAUGUAGCAAUUUAUGGAUUUUGUUUAACAUUGCUCUUGCUUUCUCUCAGGCUCAGUAUAAAAACCCGGACCAUAGUGACAGAGAUCAUCAUAGUGACAACCGAAACGGUAGAAGGGAGCCAUAGGGACAGAGAGGGACGGUCAGAAAGAGAUGGGGGUGAGAAGUCAGGGACUCAUAAAGACAGCUUCACAGUUCCUGAUCACCCCAAACGUAAGAAAAGCAGAUGGGACAAUUAAAGUGUACAGGAUAGAAGCAGUCAACUGUUCUUAGAUCAGAACACACAACUGACCCAGUCUUCAGUGUCUUUACCUUUCUGCUUGUCUUUUUGUCUAUAUGUGAGAUGAAGCUGUAUUUAAAGGUGCCUAGGAGACUAGAGCUGCCCCAUCAUCCUUGUCAUUUACCGGAAAUAAAUACAUCCAAUACAGGCUGUUUCAGACAAUUAUAACUGUGAUUUGGCAAGAAGAGUAAAAUGCACCUUGAGCCUAAGUGUUGUGUUAAAGUGCAUGUGCCUGUUCAGUGGCACACAAGUUGUUUCUUUCGGAAGAAACUAAUAGAAUAAGAAAUGUUUCAUCCGGCUGUGUAUCAGGAAAUAAUAACAAAAAAUAUAUACAUUUCAGAACCUCUCUGUUAAUAGUUGAAUACUUUUUUAUUGCUAUGUUGCUUCACAAACUAUUUGUGAACUAAAUAUUUUCUUUAAGACUUUAAGAUUUUCCGGUGUUUUAAUGUGUGCUGUCAUGCUUCAAAUACCACCAUUUAAGUUCUUAAUGUCAAUUAAUGAACUUAUCUUUUGCUCAUACCUGUAAUAUUUUGAAUUUAAAUGUUUUUUUUUAGUCGUCGGUUCAGAUUGUCUUUCUGUGCUGCCUAGCAUUUA
rnacentral:lncRNA from 1 species